GGGAAAGGGCCGGCGGGCCUACAAUGCAAGUCGAGCGGUAGCACAGGGAGCUUGCUCCUGGGUGACGAGCGGCGGACGGGAGAAUAAUGUCUGGGAAACUGCCCGAUGGAGGGGGAUAACUACUGGAAACGGUAGCUAAUACCGCAUAACGUCUUCGGACCAAAGUGGGGGACCUUCGGGCCUCACACCAUCGGAUGUGCCCAGAUGGGAUUAGCUAGUAGGUGAGGUAAUGGCUCACCUAGGCGACGAUCCCUAGCUGGUCUGAGAGGAUGACCAGCCACACUGGAACUGAGACACGGUCCAGACUCCUACGGGAGGCAGCAGUGGGGAAUAUUGCACAAUGGGCGCAAGCCUGAUGCAUCCAUGCCGCGUGUGUGAAGAAGGCCUUCGGGUUGUAAAUCACUUUCAGCUAGGAGGAAGGGUUCAGUUUUAAUACCUCU
rnacentral:rRNA from 1 species